GCCUGCAGACACUGACAGGAAGUGAACUCCUCUCUUUGGCACAGCAGAGUUCACCUGCUGAGCUUGAAGUCACAUGUUUUUACAUGUCAGAGCAUAAAGGAGGACAAUAUCAGUCUCCUCACAGUAACAUGUCCUCCAUCAGCAUCCAAAAGGAACAAAGCACUUUGACCUCAUCUACUCCUGAACCUAUGAAAUUCACAACUCACAAACUCACGAGAGUCACGAUUCCUGAGGAACAAAGCACUUUGACCUCAUCU